rnacentral:tRNA from 4 species
GGGUCGGUGAGCGUAAUUGGCAACCUACUGGAUUCCAAAUCCUCGUAUUCUCUGUUCGAAUCGGAGUCGGCCCGCCA